GUGGGGAAUAUUGGACAAUGGGCGAAAGCCUGAUCCAGCAACGCCGCGUGAGGGAUGACGGCCUUCGGGUUGUAAACCUCUUUCAGCAGGGACGAAGCGAAAGUGACGGUACCUGCAGAAGAAGGACCGGCCAACUACGUGCCAGCAGCCGCGGUAAUACGUAGGGUCCGAGCGUUGUCCGGAAUUAUUGGGCGUAAAGGGCUCGUAGGCGGUCUGUCGCGUCGGGAGUGAAAACUCAGGGCUCAACCCUGAGCGUGCUUCCGAUACGGGCAGACUAGAGGUAUGCAGGGGAGAACGGAAUUCCUGGUGUAGCGGUGGAAUGCGCAGAUAUCAGGAGGAACACCGGUGGCGAAGGCGGUUCUCUGGGCAUUACCUGACGCUGAGGAGCGAAAGCAUGGGGAGCGAACAGGAUUAGAUACCCCAGUAGUCC
rnacentral:rRNA from 1 species